rnacentral:rRNA from 1 species
GAUCAUGGCUCAGGAUGAACGCUAGCGGCAGGCUUAACGACAUGCAAGUCGAGGGGCAGCGGGGAGUAGCAAUACUCCGCCGGCGACCGGCGCACGGGUGCGUAACGCGUAUGCAACCUACCUUUAACAGGGGCAUAACACUGAGAAAUUGGUACUAAUUCCCCAUAACAUUCGAGAAGGCAUCUUCUUGGGUUAAAAACUCCGGUGGUUAAAGAUGGGCAUGCGUUGUAUUAGCUAGUUGGUGAGGUAACGG